UCCUACUUUUAAAAACAAACUACAUACAUAUCUCACAUUUGCGAGGACUACUUCAUCACAAGCAAAAAAUCGCCAUUGGUAAAUAAAGUCUGUCUUCUAUAACCACGAUGAAAAGAAAAGCUGGGCGAAAAAAUUUGAGACUGCAGAACUGGAACACUCUAUUUGAAGACAGUGGCUGCUGAGUGCUGAGCUGCAUCAAAUCUAUCAGCAUCAUGUAACUUCGAUCAGGAACAGACUCCAUUUCAUUUCCGACAACUAGCACCUGUUUUCCCUAGACUUACCAAGUAUUAAGUAACUGCAUUAGUAUUAGGUUAAAUUAAAGGCCCUACAUCGAACAAGUCUAACAAUUAAAACUUAAAUGCAAGAGUGCACAAUUUAUCACUACAUAUCUUCCUCUUUUAAUUCUAAUCAACACACGGUUUCGUCUUUGUUUCACCCAAUCGUGCUGAUAAUCAGUAAUCAUGCACUCUGCACUCUAACUUCGAGAUGUUUCAAAAGGGCUCCCGACGAUUUGAAUUAUAUCAAUAUUUUCUUUUGAUACAUAGAUACUGAUUGGGAGGUUCAUCAUACUAUUCUUGUCACAUGGUAACGAUUAACGAUUAGCUGAUCAGCUUCCAGCAUCGACAGGCCGAAAUCCAUAAAUAUAAUCAGUUGUAAUAAUAAUUAUGCACACCUAUAAUUAACGAUUAUCCAUCUGCCGAUGAUCGAUUACCAUUUAAUAUUUAUCAUCGUCCGGAUCAUCAUAAUAUUUUAAUUUAAAGUUACAAUUGAACGGUGUUAAGAAAGAUAAUUUAAGAGAAAUGUUUUGAAAGUGCCUGAUUUCGAGUAUAAGAUCUGUACUGAUACAUUAAUUUUCAGAUUGUUAUUAUAUAGUUUAUUUGUAUUUGUUAUAUUAUCUUAUCCGCACAAGUUCGGAAGCCAUCUGAACGGUAUUGCCAGACACAGGCAUAUAUUUAUUUUGGGGUAUCAUGCUCUCAGAAAUUUCAACUCAGUCCGAUAUUAUAGUUAUACUAACCUGCAUUGCAUAAGGUUAAUUGUCUCUCAGUCUAGUGCAUAGACCUUUUAUUUUGCAUAAACCCUUUAUUUUGAUUGGGAAAACUUUAGUUUAAUGUGGUUACCGUCUCUAAAGUUGGCAUGAUAGUUAAUAAACUCUUAUCUAUUAUGUCACUGAAGAUGACGCCUUUCAACAUGUUUGACGAUAGCCUGUAGAUUGAUAGUUUGAUCUCAGUAUUUACAACAAUUCAUCUAGUUCGAUUGAUUCAAAGGGAAACAAAUUCCUCUCUUAUCUAUUAUGACUAUAUUUAAAUUCAAUCCUGUAAAGUAAUACUCCUUUUUUAGUAAUUUA